GGGCAAAGUAACUGAAAUUACAAUUGUGCCCCUAAGUCAACCAAUAAAAGAUCAAAGUCAACUCCUCCUUCUUCCCUUCUAUGUCGUGUAAGCAGCUCAAUGAGAGCAUGAAAAUACUUCACAAGUGUCACUUAGAAAACAAUAUUACUCAUCAUUCCAUGCUUACUAAGCAAAUUCAAGAGUACCCAGUUUUUCUUUUUACAAUUUCCUACUCCAUUUUCUUAAUUCCCAUGGUAUUAAAGGAAUUCUAAAACCACUAAAAUGAAUUCAUUGCUUACGUUUUUAUGCUAUUCCAAUACCCUAUAAAUACCCAUUGAAGCUGAUCAUACUCCUCACUCCAUCAAGCGUCAUUUGAGUCAUUUCCCAGCAAAUUAAACCAAGUAAAAGUAUCCCCUUUAAACCCCACAUUCCUCUUUGUUUCUACGCACCACCACCGCAACCACCGUAACACCGCCUCCUCUGCAACCUACUUCCACCACAUGAAUGACUUGCUCCCACUCUCGAUCACCAUGUACGACCACUAACCUCCGAUAUCAAGCUUUAAUUAUAGCAUUCCGUUGUUGAACCCGAAACCCGAACUCGCUCCUCCCAUCUCUUCUGGAGUACGAACCACCGCACCACCACCAAACGCUGCUACACGGACCAUCGCCGUUCUGCCUCCCUUACUUCUGACCACAUGACCUCCACCUUAGAACUACCUUUGUACCGCCUCUCGCAAGUCCUAAUUCCUAAACUACCUCCCUCAUUUUUCUGUUCGUGGUGGUUAGAAAAGACCAACGUUGGUCUCUGGAUUCUCCAACUUGCCAAAUUUGGAAACAUGUGCACCUAAAUCCUAAAAAGUCAACUCUUGUGGGCCUUACUAACUAAUAAGACAUAAUGUUAUAAAUGGUAUUCGGAGCUCGGAAGAACGGUCCAUCAAACGGGAAGUAUAAAACUACGGUUGAGGCACAAAGAAGAUCAUGGGAUGCCUUAGAGUGAGGAUGCAACCAUCAAAUUCACGAUCGUUGUUUAGUAAAGAUAACUAUGUCUCACUAGUAAUAAUGGAUGUAUUAAUUAAACUCUAAUUUAAUUGCAAGAAAUGAGUUAGACUUUUAUAUUAAUAUUUAAUCAAUGUUAGGAGUAUGUAUUAUUAAAGUUUAUUUAGUAAUUUAAGAAGUGUUUUGUCGCCUUGUAUUCCCGCGAGGGAGAUAUGGCAUGUGACGCUCCGACUAAAUUAGGGUUUCCGCGGCUAAUUAAACAUAAUUAACCUAAUUAAUGGUGUUUAGAAGUAGGGGCGUUACACUAUGUUACAGAAGAUGUUCUAUUUAUUUGAUUUAAGGUGCAGAAAAUAAGAUGUUCAUGGAUCAUAUGUCCCUCCUCCAUAGGAUUCUCAAAACAAAAUAAAUGAACCAACAAAACAUCUUGUUGAACAUGAACAAAUAACAAUCAUUAGUCAUACUUGUUUUGCGGCAAUAGAAAAAUCUCUAAACUUUAAUUUUCCUAGCAAUCAUUACAAUAUUCUUUAAACAUUGUGAAAAGGGAAUUUUGUCAACUAAGAUCAAGAAUCAAAUGUUUAAAGAAUUUACCUCCUUGUAUUGUAGUAUUAACUUAUGAUGAAUCACUUUGUCUAUCAUACAUAUUUUCUAAAUAUUCAGCCAAGCAAAAGGUACCAAGAUGUUGUAAGGUUCACCUCGUUUAUGGAGAAGGAAACAUUCAAAUCUUCCUAAGGCAACUUUGUCAAAAGUAUCUUCUUCGGCCUGCAAAUUCAAUAACCCACAAGUGAUUAGACCAACAUAUAUAUAUGUAAACCAUGUUAUUCUUGACAAUUAGAAAUCAUUUGUCCAUCUUUUUCUUAAAAGCAGCCAAAAAAGCAGC